rnacentral:rRNA from 1 species
GUGGUUUAAUUCGUAUGAUACGCGAGGAACCUUACCUGGGCUCGAACGUAAGAUGACUGUAGGUGAAAGCUUACAUCUCUUCGGAGCAUUUUACGAGGUGCUGCAUGGUUGUCGUCAGCUCGUGCCGUGAGGUGUCGGGUUAAGUCCCAUAACGAGCGCAACCCCUACCUUUAGUUGCCAUCAGGUUAAGCUGGGGACUCUAAAGGAACUGCCUACGCAAGUAGUGAGGAAGGCGGGGAUGACGUCAAAUCAGCACGGCCCUUACGUCCAGGGCUACACACGUGCUACAAUGGCCGAUACAGAGGGCAGCUACCUGGUGACAGGAUGCAAAUCUCCAAAGUCGGUCUCAGUUCGGAUCGGAGUCUGCAACCCGACUCCGUGAAGUUGGAUUCGCUAGUAAUCGCGCAUCAGCCAUGGCGCGGUGAAUACGUUCCCGGGCCUU